rnacentral:miRNA from 1 species
CACCUCAUCAACCGGAAGGGAUUCCUUCCAGUUGAUGAGGUUGUUACACCUCAUCGACUGGAAGGAAUCCCUUCUGGUCGAUGAGGUU